GGGUUGUAAAGCUCUUUCGUGAGGGAAGAAACGGUUCAGGCUAAUACUCUGAAUUACUGACGGUACCUCAAGAAGAAGCACCGGCUAACUACGUGCCAGCAGCCGCGGUAAUACGUAGGGUGCGAGCGUUAAUCGGAAUUACUGGGCGUAAAGCGUGCGCAGGCGGUUUUGUAAGACAGGUGUGAAAUCCCCGGGCUUAACCUGGGAACUGCAUUUGUGACUGCAAGGCUAGAGUGCGGCAGAGGGGGGUAGAAUUCCACGUGUAGCAGUGAAAUGCGUAGAGAUGUGGAGGAAUACCGAUGGCGAAGGCAGCCCCCUGGGUCGACACUGACGCUCAUGCACGAAAGCGUGGGGAGCAAACAGGAUUAGAUACCCUGGUAGUCCACGCCCUAAACGAUGUCAACUAGGUGUUGGAGAAGGAGACUUCUUUAGUACCGCAGCUAACGCGUGAAGUUGACCGCCUGGGGAGUACCGGUCGCAAGAUUAAAACUCAAAGGAAUUGACGGGGACCCGCACAAGCGGUGG
rnacentral:rRNA from 1 species